AACGAACGCUGGCGGCAUGCCUAACACAUGCAAGUCGAACGAGACGUUCGGGUCUAGUGGCGCACGGGUGCGUAACGCGUGGGAACUUGCCCUUAGGUUCGGAAUAACUCCCCGAAGGGGAUGCUAAUACCGGAGAAUGUCUUCGGACCAAAGAUUUAUCGCCUUUGGAUGGGCGCGCGUUGGAUUAGCUAGUUGGUAGGGUAAAAGCCUACCAAGGCGACGAUCCAUAGCUGGUCUGAGAGGAUGAUCAGCCACACUGGGACUGAGACACGGCCCAGACUCCGACGGGAAGCAGGAGUAGGGAAUAUUAGACGAUGGACGAAAGCCUGAUCCAGCAACGCCGCGUGAGUGAUGAAGGGCUUAGGGUUGUGAAGCUGUUUUACCCGGGGUGAUAAUGACGGUACCGGGAGAAGAAGCUCCGGCUAACUCCGUG
rnacentral:rRNA from 1 species